UACGGAGGGUGCGAGCGUUGUCCGGAUUUAUUGGGUUUAAAGGGUGCGUAGGUGGCUUGAUAAGUCAGUUGUGAAAUACAGCCGCUCAACGGUUGAGGUGCCAUUGAUACUGUCAAGCUUGAAAGAAUUGGAGGCUGCCGGAAUGGAUGGUGUAGCGGUGAAAUGCAUAGAUAUCAUCCAGAACACCGAUUGCGAAGGCAGGUGGCUACGAAAGAAUUGACACUGAGGCACGAAAGCAUGGGGAGCAAACAGG
rnacentral:rRNA from 1 species